AAAUUGAAGAGUUUGAUCAUGGCUCAGAUUGAACGCUGGCGGCAGGCCUAACACAUGCAAGUCGAACGGUAACAGGAAGAAGCUUGCUUCUUUGCUGACGAGUGGCGGACGGGUGAGUAAUGUCUGGGAAACUGCCUGAUGGAGGGGGAUAACUACUGGAAACGGUAGCUAAUACCGCAUAACGUCGCAAGACCAAAGAGGGGGACCUUCGGGCCUCUUGCCAUUGGAUGUGCCCAGAUGGGAUUAGCUUGUUGGUGGGGUAACGGCUCACC
rnacentral:rRNA from 1 species